rnacentral:rRNA from 1 species
GACGUGAGCCACAACGGUUCGCCGGAUUUACUGGGCGUAAAGGGUACCGUAGGCGGUAAGGCAAGUCUCAAGUUAAAGCCCCCAGGCUCAACUUGGGGAAUGCUUGAGAAACUGCCUUACUAGAGGGCGGUAGGGGGAGCCGGAACUGCCGGUGUAGGGGUGAAAUCCGUUGAUAUCGGCAGGAACACCGAAAGGGAAGCCAGGCUCCUGGGCCGACCCUGACGCUGAGGGACGAAAGCGUGGGGAGCAAAGGGG